UACGUAGGGGGCAAGCGUUGUCCGGAAUCAUUGGGCGUAAAGAGCGUGUAGGCGGCCAGGUAGGUCUGCUGUGAAAACUCGAGGCUUAACCUCGAGCUGUCGGCGGAAACCAUCUGGCUAGAGUCCGGAAGAGGAGAAUGGAAUUCCCGGUGUAGCGGUGAAAUGCGCAGAUAUCAGGAGGAACACCGGUGGCGAAGGCGGGUCUCUGAGCCGAUACUGACGCUGAGGAGCGAAAGCGUGGGGAGCGAACAGG
rnacentral:rRNA from 1 species